rnacentral:rRNA from 1 species
CGGCACCUCGAGUGGUAGCCACUAUUAUUGGGCCUAAAGCGUUCGUAGCCGGUUUGGUAAAUUCUUGGGUAAAUCGUACCGCUUAACGGUGCGGAUUCCGGGGACACUACCAGACUUGAGACCGGGGGAGAUCAGAGGUACUUGCUGGGGAGCGGUGAAAUGUUGUAAUCCCGCAGGGACCACCAGUGGCGAAGGCGUCUGAUCAGAACGGCUCUGACGGUGAGGAACGAAACCCUGGGGCGCAAACGGGAUUAGAUACCCCGGUAGUCCAGGGCGUAAACGCUGCUGACUUGGUGUUGGGGAUCCUACGAGGAUGCCCAGUGCUGGCGCGAAGGUAUUAAGUCAGCCGCCUGGGAGUACCGGUCGCAAGACUGAAACUUAAAGGAAUUGCGGGGAGCACUGCAACGUGUGGAGCGUCGUUUAAUUGGAUUCAACGCCGGAAAACUCACCGGGGCGACGGUUACAUGAAGGCCAAGCUGAUGACUUUGCCUGAUUUCCGAGAGGUGGUGCAUGGCCGCCGUCAGUUCGUACCGUAAGGCGUUCUGUUAAGUCAGAUAACGAACGAGACCUCCGUCACCAUUUGCUAUUCUUCUCUCCGGAGAGGGAGCACUAUGGUGGAUCCGCCACUGUUAAAGUGGAGGAAGGAGGGGGCAACGGAUGGUCAGUAUGCCCCGAAUCUCCCGGGCUACACGCGCGCUACAAAGGGCAGGACAAUGGGCUUCGACACCGAAAGGUGGAGGCAAUCCCGAAACCUGCUCGUAAUUCGGAUUGAGGGCUGCAAUUCGCCCUCAUGAAGCUGGAAUACGUAGUAAUCGCGGGUCAACAUCCCGCGGUGAAUAUGCCCCUGCUCCUU